rnacentral:lncRNA from 1 species
CGACACCUCCAAACACUCCUUACGUUCCAAUUACUCCUCCAAAAGCACCUUAUCAUCCAAAUCCACCUUAUGUUCCAACCCCUCCAAACACUCCUUAUGUUCCAAUUACUCCUCCGAGAGCACCUUAUGUUCCAGCACCUCCUCAAACUCCAACUGUUCCAACUCCUCCAGAAACUCCUUAUCAUCCACCCUAUGUUCCAAUACCUCCUCCUAAAACACCUUCACCUAUUUCCAGUCCUCCCUAUGUUCAUCCAAAACCACCUUCACCUAUUCAUUAUCCACCUAAUGUUCCAACACCUCCAAAAACUCCUUCCCCUGUAUACACUCC